GGCACAGUGGCGGAGUGGUCUAACGCGUGUGACUCGAACCUUGAGUUGAUCACAUCUCUUCGGAGGCGCCCGUUCGAAUCGGGCCUGUGUCG